GCCCAUGUAGCUCAGCAGGCAGAGCACAUCCAUGGUAAGGAUGGGGUCGCCGGUUCGAAUCCGGCCGUGGGCUCCA
rnacentral:tRNA from 1 species